CCAGGGAAAGCGCUUCCGCAAAGGCUUGGCGUGUCAAUCAAGAUCAGAAUGGUAGUGGGAUUUCCCGAUGUUUGGCAGUCUAAAUGCAAAUGCCUCAGGUAAAAUCACACCCACUGACCUGAAAUAGGGCCAAUGGGAGAUGGCUUCCAGUCUUAUGUGAGACCCAUUCUGUAGCAGGAGAGCAUAAUCAAAGGGAUAUAAAGUUCCAGCUGCAAUUAGAGAAAAAGAGAAGUGAUCUGAGCUCUGCAUCCUGAUGAACCUCUCGGGCAGGAAAUGAGACACUGAAGCUUGGGGCCCUCUAGACAGAAUGGUAAGAACAGAAUUGCUGCUACCUUCAGCCCAAGAUAUUCAUGAAAUGCCAGGAAGAGCAAGGCACCCAGCCACCCUGAAGAUCUACAGGCAGAAGAGACUGCCAGUCUUACUCUCCUUUCCAGUGGGAGUGGGCGGGAGUUACUGACCACAGUAAGGCUAUUUGCUGGGAAAAUGGGGUUUUUUUUCUAUUUUUUUAAUAUUAAUUAAUUUGGCUGCACUGGAUAUUAGUUGUGGCAUCUGGAAUCUAGUUUCCCAAACAGGGAUUGAACUUGGGCCCCCUGCAUUGGAAGCAUGGAGUCUCAGCCACUGGACCACCGGGGAAGUCCCUGCUGAAUGGACCUGUGAUGGAAAAAUCGAGUACUGGCCAGCCGAUGGGCCUGUAAUGAGAAGAGAGUGGACCCUGGAUUAGCUGUCCAGACCUGGCAGAUGAGCAGAAGCAGAUUGGACUGGACGGGAUUGUGAAAAACAAAUUUCAGGAAUCCAGAGACUGUGAGAGUGCUGCUUUUUUCAGGGCCAGCAAAUUUCCUCAGAUAUUACGGGGCUUCUGUUUGGAAACCAGCCUCUUUAAUCCUGCUAUGAUGCCAAGAGGUAGCCCAGCAACUCACACCUUGCCUUGCUCUGAGCCACUUUCUUGUGUGGCCAUCUCUGAUGCCUUAUUCCAAAGCUGAUGUGGCUCAGCACCAAGUUCCGGCACCAAGAGGGUGCUUGUUACCUGGCAGUGCUGAAAAGGUCUCCUCUCUUUCACUGUCUGUGUAAAGUUACUUCUUUUCGGGGCAGUGGUUAAUUUGUUGAAAAUCUGCAGAAGAGUUUUCACAGUUGGGGUGGGGGGAAACCCUAAAUAGAAAUAUGAACUCUUCUAAGGUGCAUUCCAAGACACUUCUAAGCUCUAGUUUCAUGGAAACCUCGGGCUCCUCUGUUGCUUUAUUAGCACGGGUUUUAUCCAGAAGGUGGCAUCACAGAACCUGAAUUUCAUUCACCAAAGGUUAAAAGAAAAUCCACAUCUCUUUGCGACUGGAAACUAAAGUGUGUAGUCUUUAGAGGGCAUGUUUAAAGAUGUUUUGUUCAUCCCUCUAAUCGGUGAAAUUACUUUAAAGCUGUGAAAGAUGGGGGUCAUGAUAGCUUCCUACUCAGUGAAAACCUGAAGCCUGAGACACUUAGAAAAACCUGUCCUAAGCCCAUGUUCCUUCCCCAGGUGACAUGACGAUGAUCAAAACUGGCUUAUUUCCUAGUCAAGACAAUUGUGAAACUUAAGAAUAACCAUGAGGCCUGCUUCCCCUUCCACACACACUUGUUCCCACUGCCCAUCAAAGUCA